GACGAACGCUGGCGGCGUGCUUAACACAUGCAAGUCGAACGGAAAGGCCCUGCUUGCAGGGUACUAGAGUGGCGAACGGGUGAGUAACACGUGGGUGAUCUGCCCUGCACUUCGGGAUAAGCCUGGGAAACUGGGUCUAAUACCGGAUAGGAGCCAUUUUUAGUGUGAUGGUUGGAAAGUUUUUUCGGUGUAGGAUGAGCUCGCGGCCUAUCAGCUUGUUGGUGGGGUAAUGGCCUACCAAGGCGGCGACGGGUAGCCGGCCUGAGAGGGUGGACGGCCACAUUGGGACUGAGAUACGGCCCAGACUCCUACGGGAGGCAGCAGUGGGGAAUAUUGCACAAUGGGCGCAAGCCUGAUGCAGCGACGCCGCGUGGGGGAUGACGGCCUUCGGGUUGUAAACUCCUUUCGCUAGGGACGAAGCUUUUUGUGACGGUACCUAGAUAAGAAGCACCGGCUAACUACGUG
rnacentral:rRNA from 1 species